rnacentral:rRNA from 1 species
AGUGGAUGGGGAGCAACCUAGUUGUGCGUGUGUAAAGGUAGUGCCAAGAAAAGCGGUGAUCAUGAUGAAAAUCAAUUCCCGGUACCCGAAACCGACACAGGUGGGCAAGUAGAGAAUACUAAGGGGCGCGAGGUAACUCUCUCCAAGGAACUCGGCAAAAUGACCCCGUAACUUAGGGAGAAGGGGUGCCACCGAGAGGUGGUCGCAGUGAAGAGGCCCAGGCGACUGCUUAGCAAAAACAUAGGUCUCUGCAAACUCGAAAGAGGAGGUAUAGGGGCUGACGCCUGCCCAGUGCCGGAAGGUUAAAGAAGUUGGUCAGUCUUAGGAUAAAGCUAGCGACUGAAGCCCCGGUGAACGGCGGCCGUAACUAUAACGGUCCUAAGGUAGCGAAAUUCCUUGUCGGGUAAGUUCCGACCCGCACGAAAGGCGUAACGAUCUGGGCGCUGCCUCGGAGAGAGGCUCGGCGAAAUAGGAUUGUCUGUGAAGAUACGGACUACCUGCAUUUGGACAGAAAGACCCUAUGAAGCUUUACUAUAGCUUGGAAUUGUGUUCGGGCUUCCUGUGCGCAGGAUAGGUGGGAGGCGAAGGAGGUAUUCUUGUGGGGAUACUGGAGCCAACGGUGAGAUACCACCCUCAGGAGGCUAGAAUUCUAACUUAAUUAAGGACAGUUUCAGGUGGGUAGUUUGACUGGGGCGGUCGCCUCCAAAAAGGUAACGGAGGCGUGCAAAGGUUCCCUCAGACUGGUUGGAAAUCAGUCGCAGAGUGCAAAGGCAGAAGGGAGCUUGACUGCGAGAAGUACAGUUCGAGCAGGGUGGAAACACGGUCUUAGUGAUCCGACGGUGCUGUGUGGAAGGGCCGUCGUUCAACGGAUAAAAGUUACUCUAGGGAUAGCAGGCUGAUCUCCCCCAAGAGUUCACAUCGACGGGGAGGUUUGGCACCUCGAUGUCGGCUCAUCGCAACCUGGGGCGGAAGUACGUCCCAAGGGUUGGGCUGUUCGCCCAUUAAAGCGGUACGUGAGCUGGGUUCAGAACGUCGUGAGACAGUUCGGUCCAUAUCCGAUGUAGGCGUGAGAAUAUUGAGAGGAGCCUUCCUUAGUACGAGAGGACCGGGAAGGACGCACCGCUGUGUACCUGUUAUGAUGCCAAUUGUAAACGCAGGGUAGCCAAGUGCGGAGAGGAUAACCGCUGAAAGCAUCUAAGUGGGAAGCCCACCUCAAGAUGAGUAUUUUGGUGUAAGGUCACGGGAAGACGACCCGUAAAUAGGCACGAGGUGGAAGUGCAGAGAUGUAUGAAGCCGAAGUGUACUAAUAGACCGUCGGCUUGAC